rnacentral:lncRNA from 1 species
GCAUAUCAUCACAACAAAUUCACUUUUAGUCAUCCUGAACACUCACUUAUGCCAUUUAAACUACCCUGAUAUGACUACUGUGUGAACAGAUUACCGUUGAUGUAUGUAGAGAUAUUUUAAAUCUGACAUAUGUAAACAUGAUGCUAUUUCUAUAUAUAAAAUGGUCAAAUUUGCUUUCAUUUCAUUGAAAGCAUAUAUGGACAGUGUAUCGUCUUCUCUAAAGUAAAUCUAUUCUUUCCUAUUUUUACUUAGGCUUCUACAUACCUUUGGGAAUGACUGCUAUGAAGGAAAAUAAUUAUAGUAAGUACAUUAAAAUAUGAACUUGCUUUCCUUAUUAAAUUGAUUUGCAGAUAAUUUCUAAAUUGGUACUAACUUGUAAAACCUGAAUAAAGCAUUAUGGAC